rnacentral:rRNA from 1 species
UCCAGACUCCUACGGGAGGCAGCAGUGGGGAAUAUUGGGCAAUGGGCGCAAGCCUGACCCAGCAAUGCCGCGUGAAGGAAGAAGGCUUUCGGGUUGUAAACUUCUUUGACAGGGGAAGAGCAGAAGACGGUACCCUGAAAACAAGCCACGGCUAACUACGUGCCAGCAGCCGCGGUAAUACGUAGGUGGCAAGCGUUGUCCGGAUUUACUGGGUGUAAAGGGCGUGUAGCCGGGAAGGCAAGUCAGAUGUGAAAUCCGGAGGCUCAACCUCCGAAUUGCAUUUGAAACUGUUUUUCUUGAGUACUGGAGAGGCAGACGGAAUUCCUUGUGUAGCGGUGAAAUGCGUAGAUAUACGGAGGAACACCAGUGGCGAAGGCGGAUUGCUGGACAGUAACUGACGCUGAGGCGCGAAAGCGUGGGGAGCAAACAGGAUUAGAUACCCGGGUAAGA